rnacentral:lncRNA from 1 species
GGGUUAUAAUGAUGAAUAGUUUUAAGAAAUGCUAUGAUGAGGUACUAUCAUAGUCUCAUACUUGCUUGUAAUAGUGCAGGUGCAAACCUAGACGAUAGGUAAUGAUACUUUCAAUUUGAGCCAAUUAAAAGAAGAAAGACUUAUGUAGGUUAUGUUAGCGAAAUGCUGCGGUUUUGCAAAAUGGUCGUCAGCUACCCCACUAUAUAGCCUUCAUGAUCCUUGAUGAGUCUUUAUUUUAAGUUUAUGACGGGUAAGUCUAGCUGAGUACCUUCUCGUACUCAGGGUUCUAUUCCCAUGUUGUUUUGCAGAUGGUCAAAUGUACUAUGGUUAUUGCAUCCUCUGUCUGUACCCAGCUAUGGGUGAUGACUAGACCAAGGGCGAUGGUCACUCCGUCUUUUCUUUUGCUUUUGUGGGAAUGACCGAACUAUGGCACUGUAUCAGACUUAUCGUGUGUGUUGUAAUUUCAAACUAUGAAGCUUCCGCUACUUGAAGAACUUGAUUUGUAAUAACUUCAAGCACUCCGAUGUAUUUUAUGAAUGUUGUAAUCUGGAUGUACUUGUGGAUGGCGACCGCUAAACUUAUUACGAUCUUGGCUGUUAUGUGAUGUGUGGUUUGAAAUCCUUCGAGAUUUCACGGACUACCGGGAUUAUAUGGGCUUAAGCGUGAUAGUUCGACUAUGCAAAUGGUCACUAUUAGGCUUAAUCUCUUAUAAUUUGGUCGGUUCUGUUACAAUAUACAUGCUUGCUAGACCUUGAGCCACACAUUUACUAUUUACUGCUUAUGAGCAUUGAGUGUAGUCAAGCUGUGUAGACCCUUAGGAGCUUGUCAUGUGGUUAAAUCAAGAUUCACUUGCACGUUCACUCAUAUAUGCUACUUCUACUCCGGAAGUACCAUCCACAUAUAUCCACUCAUUUCCAUCUCUAGUUUUACCCAAAAUUAUUCUACUCCUAAUCCGGGAGAGAAUAAGCCAAAAAACAUUUUCCUAUCCCUGUUAUUCCCUGUGAAAUAAAUGCUCCAGUUAUUUUGGUUACUACCACUUGCUACAUUAUUUCAGGAGAUGAGUGCUCUAGAAAGAAAAAAAAGAAAAAAAAAUAAAUAAUAUACGAGGAAAUAAAAAGGGGCAAGUGCUCGGAACCUCGAAGAAAAGAAAAAGUGAGACGAGAGGUAAAAAUGGACAAGUGUCCGACAGUAGAAUUAGGGGUACAAAGCUACCCACCUGAGAAAAAAAAAGGGGAAAAUAUAGAGCAUCUCAUUCUCCUCAUAAAGUUUCAAAAGCAAGGAAGGUAUGUAUCCCCUCAAAGAGCAAAAGUAAAAUUAGACUUUCACCAUUGUUAUCACCAUCAUCACCAUACACCAUUCAUUCGCCACACAUGCACAUCUUGAUUUGGCUUAUUGAUUUGUUUCUUUGGAUCCAUGGUUUGACUAUGCAAUAAAUGUCUUGUAAGUAUGUAUAUUUUAUCUCCCACCUAUGAGCUCCAGAUAUUAAAGCCUUAUUAGAGUAGGGUGAGAGAGAAGACAAUGUCACUAUCCUUCAUACCACAAAUACUACAUAUCUUGAGAGAAGGCAUAUACCAUCACUGCCUUGGUUAGGAUCCAAAAAUACCACAAAAAAGAGAUCUGAGAGAAUCAUACAAGGAAUCUCUGAGUUUUAAAAUCUGCAAAAACUCUAGAGCUAUAGCUGAUCAAGAAUAAGAGACAUGGCACUUGGCUAGACUGUUCUAUCUUUUAACCACUCAAGACAGAAGUGACAGUUACAAGUCCCAUGGUGAAGGUAAAGUAAGUUUUAAGUCUUGAUAGUUUACUCUAACUCAGAGAUGAGAUUAAAAAGCAUGUGUAACAUCAAUUUUUAAAAAUAUUGCAACAAUUUAUGAUCCAUAGCUAAGUCUAUCCUUGCUCAGGGACGAGCAAGAGGUAAGCUUGGGGGAGUUUGUUGACGGUCCUUAAGUAUCAAAUUUAAUUAUCAAAUAAACAAAGAAAAGGAUCCAAAUGCAACCAACACCUAGAAUUAGGGUUUGAUCUGACAGAAUUCCACGAGUUUUGUUGUUUAUCUGUUUCCGCAGGGGGUUAUCAGGAAAUAAGGAAGAAAGGCCCACAUGUCGGGAUUACAUAGAGAUAUAAACGCACCGCAUGAUUUUACAUCAUCUAGAAGACUCCAGAAGCCACGAGACCGAAGCGGAGGCGAAACUGGGCCAGGCCCAGGGCGCCCGCCCUGGUAGCCUGGGCGCCCGCCCCCUGUUGGAGCCAAAUCAGGACUCUUUCGCUCGGGAUGUUCCACCGACCUAUUGGAUCAAGGAAAACAUAGUACCACCUCACCUAUCGACCCAAAAACGCAUAGAAGGGGAGGACUAUAUAAGCAAGGCCCCCCUGGCCCUGGAGAAGACAAGAAAUUAUCAUAGAGAUUGAGGGGUGCCCUCGAAGGAAAACCUCUUCUCUAAAUAAUAUUUCUUUUUAGGCGUAGCAACCAAUGUAAGGUAGAAAUAGAUCUUCUAGUUUCUACUAGAUUGAGAGAGAUAGACUGGAGGUGUGGAUCGGAGGAAGGCCGGCCUGUCGGUGUCUACUCCGAGUUGUACCUACGGUAUCAAGUCUCCUAACCCGAGGCUUGCUUCUAAGAUUCUUCAGUAAUUCGACUUCUAAUACUAGUAAGUUAUUGUUUUAUUGUUCUUUGGUUUAUGAGUUUACUUUAAUCCUCUUCCGGUUGAGUAUUAGAGUAAUCACUUGUUAGCGUAAACGUGGUGUUUAGGCUAGGGUACUCAUAGAUAUCCCCUGACUAGCUGGACCGUGGUAGUAGCGAGGAACGUGACAUUUCCGAGUUACCUUUGUAGAUCACAUCUCGUUAGCAGGACGGGUAGGGUUAAAGGUGCGGGUCGAACAUCCUUUGUGUUGUCUAGAUUCCGUGAGCCUCCCCAAUAGAACAGUAGAUCAUCCUUACCAAGGUUAGAACGAGACUACGGUUGCAGUCUUCUCUAUACAUCACUCACAUCGAGAGACAUUCUUUGUAGCCUAAAGGGAUAGUAAGAAUAGAUUUGGUUAGUCAGAUGCACCCUUUCUCCCAGUGGUAAAAAUAUAAAUACGAUAACUCUGGAUAACCUCCCGGGUGAAAUGCUCACCGAUAUCCGUGCGCUUACGGAUCAUUUUCUAAUUGCGUUACCAAAUAUCAACAGUGUUGACGGUCCUUAAGUAUCAAAUUUAAUUAUCAAAUAAAUAAAGAAAAGGAUCCAAAUGAAAUCAAGAUCUAGACUUAGGGUUUUAUUUUACAGAAUUCCACGAGUUUUGGUGUUUGUCUAUUUUUGCAGGGGGUUAUCAGGAAAUAUGGAAGAAAGUCCCACAUGUCAGGAUUACAUAAAGAUAUUAACGUGCUGCGCAAUUAUCUUACAUCUAGAAGACUCCAGAAGCCACGAGACCGAAGCGGAGGCGAAACGGGGCAGAGGCAGGGCGCCUGCCCUCCUGCCCUGGGCACCCGCCCACCUCCUGUGUCCAAUCAGGACUCUGCUUUGCGGGAGAUCUCCACCGACCUAAAGGAUGAAUCUAAACCAUACAAUCUAUGUCGGUUUGAUCCAAGGGCCCAUAUUCACUUGGAGGGACUAUAAAACCAGACCCCCUGGCCCCUGGAGGAGAGAGCCUCUCAACCCUAAUUCAUUGUUCCAUCAAGGGAGAAGAAGCCUCUGAUCUAGAUUAGAGCCACCACAUCAAUUAGAUAUCUAGAUUAGCAUAGCUACAUAGGAUUAGAACUAGAAGGAGUCAAUCUUCGAUUGGUUUCCGGAUCUGUCAGGAGGAUUCUUGGUAAUUCUCUAAUUGUGCUUUUAAUUACUUUCUAAUUAUCUUUGUUCUUCAAUAUUAUGAAUAUGACUUUGUUCUACUUCAAUAUAUUGCUUAUGACUUUGCUCUACUUGCUUAUAUUCAAGAUUAUAUUGUUCUUAGUUUAUCAUAGUUAUGUACUUGGCUUAGUUAGAUUCGAUCUAUAUACAUGCUUAGGAUCGUAUAGCGUUUAUCCAUCGGAUCCAUGGGUAAAUGAUAGAUAUUGUGUAGGCGUGGUGCUUAUACCGUAUUUAUCUGCGAUUGUACCCAAUAUGCCAGAUCGUGGGGUGGUUCGUGAUAGUGACAACUUCAUUGAUUCUUAUAUAGUCCCCCUCCCAUGUAUUGGGCUGGCAGAGCAACAUUAUUAGAGGGGAGUGAUUGCUAUGUUUCUCAUAUUCCUUGCUAAUAUCACUAUGCAUGGGCGUAGUCUUGUCUCACAAUGAUUGCUAAGUAUGCUUGCACUAACUAUGAUAUGCUAAACUAUAUAGUUGAGAAUAACUUAGGGAAUAUUCUUGUAGUUCGUUCUAAUACCAUGCUAAUGACUUUCUAGAGUAUCUAAUUGAGGUGCUUAUCAUAUUUAUUAUGUGGCUAGAUCAGAUCAGUUAUCCUUGUCACUAUUAUUAUUUUAUAUAUCCUCUAUGUGACACUUAUCCCUAUAUGAAGAGUUAGAUAUAAUGUUCUCAAUUAUACAUGCAAUGAUAGAUGCUCAAUCUCAUAUUCUAAACCCUUCCCAGUGGUAAAAAUAUAAAUAACGAUACCUGGAAUACUUCCCGGUUAAAAUGCUGCAUCGGUAUUAAUCUGUGCGCUUGCAGAUCCCAUUCAUUAUUUAUUUAGAAGAGCAAUUGCAUAUUUCAAUACCGCGUCUCUUAUAUCAUGCUGGGGAUGACAACUUGGCUUAAGUGGUGUGAGGGAUAGGUUUGGCAUUUUUGGCACCGUUACUAGAUUUAGAGAAUUUAGUCUACUUUUAGUAAUGAUGUUAAGAAUACCCAACAAGCAUUUUUGGCGCCGUUGCCGGGGAAGGUUGAUUACUAAUCAGGAAUGGAAUAAAAGAUUUUGAGUUAUCAUUCGCAUCACUAAUAUGAUUGAGCUUAUCUAUUCUCUCAUACAGUUUUACCCCGAUAUUUUUCUAUUUUAUCUUAUGCAGGGGAAUGUAUGAAUAGAAGACAUCUUCCAGGAAAUUUUGUUGACAAUCCCGAGGCAUUAUUCAAGAAGACGAGGGCCAAGCUCAAGAAGAGAUCAUCAACACUUCACGAAGAAGAUUCAUCCAAUCAAGAAGAUCACUGAAACUUGUCUUCAGAGUUCGAAGCCAUGGAGAACAAAUCGAUCCGCGAGUUCUCAGCUCCCACUACGGACAACAUCCGCACUGGACCUGCUGCAGAGAUCGAUGGCAACUUUGAGCUCAAGCCUGGACUUAUCAACAUGGUGCAAUCCAACCAGUUCUGUUGGAAGGCACACGAAGAUGCUAGUGCUCAUUUACAACACUUCCUAGAGAUUUGCAACACAUUCACCAUAGCAGGAGUUUCCAAAGACGCUAUACUACUUCGCCUCUUCCCAUUCUCACUUUUAGGAAGAGCGAAGCAGUGGUUCUACGCUACAAAGGAGAAGAAUACUACGUGGGCACACUGCUCAACAAACUUCCUAGCUAAGUUCUUUCCCAUGGGCACCAAUGCUCUCCGUGGGAAGAUUACAAGUUUUCAGCAACAAAAUGAUGAAUCUGUUCCAGAAGCAUGGGAGCGCUUUCAAGACUACAUCCUAUUAUGUCCCCAUCAUGGAAUGGAGAGUUGGCUAUUGAUGCAGACAUUCUAUCAUGGGCUCAGCAACAGUGCCCGAGAGACCAUGGAUGCUGCAGCUGGAGGAGCAUUCUUAUCACUUACUAUACCACAAGCCACAACUCUUGUGGAGAAGAUGGCGUCCAAUCAAAGAUGGAACGAAGAGAGGACCCAGACACGCAAGAGAGGUGGAGGUAUGCAUCAGCUAAAGGAGGUAGACAUGCUGUCUGCAAAGCUAGACCUGCUCAUGAAGAAGCUCGAUGACAGAGCUGGAGACAAGAAAGAAGUUAUGCACAUCUACGACUCUCACAUGACUUGUGAGGAGUGUGGAGACACUGGACACUCAGGCAACCACUGCCCUGAGAUGCUUGAGGAUGUGAACUACAUCAACAACAACAACUACUACUACUACAACCGUCCUCAACAAAAUCAAGGUUGGAAUCAACAGAGGCCUAACUACUCAGGUAAUUAUCAAGGUAACAAUUCUUACAACAACAACAAUAGUAAUUUUCCACCUUUAAGGGAGUUAGUGUCUAAUCAAGGAAAGCUAAUGGAUAACCUAUCUAAGAAAUUGGCAUCUAAUGAUAAAAUGCUAGAAAAUAUAAAUAAUAGAAUGGAUAAUUUCUCUACUGCCAUCAAGAAUCAAAUUAGCUUUAAUAAAAUGAUUGAAUCCCAGUUAAAUCAAAUAGCUGCUGCUGUUCCUACUACUAACCCCGGUAUACCAUCACAACCGGAAGGAUUAGAAUCUGCAAAUCUUGUAGACAUGUUUGAUGCAGGUAAUUGGAGUAACCCCGUCAAUGAAUUCUCUACUGACCUUCUGCCGGUCAAGAGAGGCGAUCCAGGACGCCCCGUCAUCCCGAUCUCCAUCGGCAUGGUGGACUUCCCAGAAGCACUCUGUGACUUUGGCUCUAGUGUCAACAUUAUACCCAGGGAAUAGUAAGGAACCUUUGUGUCCGAGUUGGUACCUUAUAUGCCCCAGCAGACUUCGUAGUGGUAGACACCGAAAAUGAUGAGAGAGCACCUAUCAUCCUAGGGAGGCCACUCUUGAACACUACGGGAGCUAUCAUCUACGCCAGUGCUGCCAAGAUCAGUUUCUACGUCAAUGGGAAGAAGGAGACAUUUUUCUUCAAGAACAAGACUACACAAAUUCAAGAUCAAUCCAGACGUAAAUCAAGGAAGAGGACCAACAGGAGAAACAGGAACAAGCAAGUGUGGACCCAGUCAGCUAAGAUGGUCACUGUAGUUCAUGGAGGCCAAGAUCAUCAACUUAAGUCACCGUUUUUGACCAAGAAGGACGACCCAGGAAUGCCAAGCAUUUACUGCUCCAUAAAUGGAUACAACUUCUACAAGACGAUUUGCGACACCGGAUCCGGCGUCAACAUAAUAGCCGCAGUCACCUAUCGGCUCUUGUUCGGAACCAUGCCCCUAAGACCAACAUACAUUCAGCUCCAGAUGGUAGAUCAGACAUUUCGAGAAGUCAAGGUAAUAGUAACUGAUGUCCCAGUCAAAAUAGACGAUCACUUUGUCUACACAGACUUUCAAGUUGUUGACAUGGGAGAAGAUGAGUAUGAUCCACCCAUCAUCCUUGGAAGACCGUUCCUCAGCACCGUUAAAGCAAUUAUCUACAUUGGCACCGGAGAAGUACAUAUGCACUUCCCCUCAGAGAAGGUACGCCGUUAUUUUACUGACCCUAACUAUAUCAUUGAAGAAUCUAAGCAGGUCAGAAAGAGACGCAACCGCAACCAGAGGAGGCAGAUCAUCAAGGACGGAUGGGCAGACUAUGAAGGAGAAGUUGUAAGGUCAGAAGACGUUGAGUUUAAACAGAAUUAUCCAGAGAAGAUUGAAGCACCGAGUCAGAUAUGGAAAAUGAAGAUAACUAUACAAGAAGAGGAGGCGCUACCGGAAGUACCGACUACGCCACCCAACGAACCUCAGGACGAUUAAGAAAAUGGAGAGUCCCGUUCGGAGGACUUAAAAACACCGAACGCCUUGCCAAAAGAUAAACUUGGUAGUUAUCUUUUUCCCUUUCAAUUAUUUCAAAGAGUUUACUUAGUUAAUCAUGUUCGUAUUAUCCUAAAAAGAAAAUAAAAAUGAAGAAACAGUAAGCCCCAUGUGAGUAUGCGAGUGGCAUAAAACCCAUAAGCACAUUCACUGUGGUGGCAUAAAAAUAAAAUAAAUAUUUUUCUGCUUUAUAAAAAUGAAAAUAUAAAAACAGGGAGUAAUAAUUAUCAAGGAGUCUCAAGAUGAUAAAGGCUAGAUAUUUAUGCUAACACUUAAUCAGUUCCACAAGCUUUGUUGUCUAUUUGAGCUCCACAGGAUUUAAGAAUCAAGAAGACUAGCAGACGGAGGGUAUUCUAAUCGCUGUCAGAAUGCUGCUGACUUUCAAAUACACCUCUGCCACCUGCCAGCUACAUCAAGAGAAAUUACGUCAAAAUUCAGCUUGGGGGAGAGCACCCCCAUUUACCUCGAUAAGUAUUUCUAUCUAUCUAUCUUUAUGCUUAUAUUAUAUUAGAAUAUUAAAAUACAUAAACUAUGAAAAACCAAAUAAAGAUUUUAUAUAUAUAUGUCUUUUGCUUAGUGUGUUUAAUAAAUAAAUAAAGUGGCUAUGCUAAUCUGUAUCUAAAUAAAACUCAAGCAUGGAUAUGAUAAAUAGUUGCUCUGCCUAAUUUGUAUAUUUUAAGUUCUCUCUCAAGUUUAGAUAUAACUGUUAUAAUUUAAAUCUUGCUCUAGACCUAAACUUGUGGGAUGAAAACUUGAUCUGAAGUCUAAGUUGUUAACGGAUAUGAUAUGGGAAGGUUGAGCUGCUGUUUAUCUGUUCCUAGAGAUGCUAGAAUUCUGGAGAAUUUUAUCUUUGAAAAAUCUUUAAAAUGUUGCAUGAUGAGUUCCUGUAUGAUGAGAGUUUAAAUUCCUACCACAGCCAUAUAUACAUGCUUGCUAGACUUUGAGCCACACAUUUAAUAUUUACUGCUUAUGAGCAUUGAGUGUGGUCAAGCUGUGUAGACCCUUAGGAGCUUGUCAUGUGGUUAAAUCAAGAUUUCACUUGCACGUUCACUCAUAUAUGCUACUUCUAUUCCGGAAGUACCACCCAAAAAUAUUCUACUCCUAAUUCGGGAGAGAAUAACCAAAAAUAUUUCUGUUUUUCCUUGUGAAAUAAAUGCUCAAGUUAUCUUGUUACUACCACUUGCUAUAUUAUCUCAAGAGAUGAAUGCUCUGAAAAAAAAUAGAGAGAAAAAAAAAGAGACACGAGGAAAUAAAAAGGAGCAAGUGCUCGGAACCUCGAAAGAAAAGAAAAAGUGAGACGAGAGGUAAAAAUAGACAAGUGUCCGACAGUAGAAAUUAGGGAUACAAGAUAUCCACCUGAGAGACAAGAAAAAGAAGAGCAUCUCAUUCUCCUCAUAAAGUUUCAAAAGCAAGGAAGGUAUGUAUCCCCUCAAAGAGCAAAGUAGAAUUAGACUUCCACCACCAUUGUUUUCACCAUUGUUAUCACCAUCAUCACCAUACACCAUUCAUUCGCCACACAUGCACAUCUUGAUUAAACUUAUUGACUUGUUACAUUGGAUCCAUGGUUUGACUAUGCAAUAAAUGUCUUGUAAGUAUGUAUACUUUAUCUCCCACCUAUGAGCUCCAGAUAUUAAAGCCUUAUUAGAGUUGGGUGAGAGAGAAGGCAAUGUCACUAUGCUUCAUACCAUAAAUACCACAUAUCUGGAGAGAAGGCAUAUACCAUCACUGCCUUGGUAAGGAUCAAAAAAUACCACAAAAGAGAGAUCUGAGAGAAUCAUACAAGGAAUUUCUGAGUUUUAUUUGAAAAUCUGCAAAAAAACCCCAGAGCUAUAGCUGAUCAAGAAUAAGAGACAUGGCACUUGGCUAGACUGUUCUAUCUUUUAACCACUCAAGAUGGAAGUGACGGUUACAAGUCCCAUGGUGAAGGUAAAGUAAGUAAGUUUUAAGUCUUGACAGUUUACUCUAACUCAGAGAUGAGAUCUUAUUUAAAAGCAUGUGUACCGUUAAAUUUUUAAAGAUAUUGCAACUACUUAUGAUCCAUAGCUGAGUCUAUCCUUGCUCAGGGACGAACAAGACGUAAGCUUGGGGAGUUUGUUGACGGUCCUUAAGUAUCAAAUUUAAUUAUCAAAUAAAUAAAGAAAAGGAUCCAAAUGAAAUCAAGAUCUAGACUUAGGGUUUUAUCUGACAGAAUUCCACGAGUUUUGGUGUUUGUCUAUUUCUGCAGGGGGUUAUCAGGAAAUAAGGAAUAAAGGCCCACAUGUCAGGAUUACGUAAAGAUAUUAACGUGCUGCGCAAUUAUCUUACAUCUAGAAGACUCC